UCUGGGAUAGCUCAGCGGUAGAGCGCUCGGCUCUGGACCGAGUGGACGCAGGUUCGAAUCCUGUUCCCAGAC
rnacentral:tRNA from 1 species